UACGAAGGGAGCUAGCGUUGUUCGGAUUUACUGGGCGUAAAGGGCGCGUAGGCGGCGCCGCAAGUCGACUGUGAAAUCUCCGGGCUUAACCCGGAAAGGUCAACCGAUACUGCGGGGCUAGAGUGCAGAAGGGGCAACUGGAAUUCUCGGUGUAGCGGUGAAAUGCGUAGAUAUCGAGAGGAACACCUGCGGCGAAGGCGGGUUGCUGGGCUGACACUGACGCUGAAGCGCGAAAGCUAGGGGAGCGAACGGG
rnacentral:rRNA from 1 species